UCGUUCCUCUCCUCCACUCCUACUUUCUCUCUCUCUCUCAAACUCUACCCACCCAGUCGCUUCACUAAUUUUGGUCACCAUAGUUGGUGAACCUCUAAUAGUGCCUUUCUAUCCGCCAUAGCAAUAGUCACGACCAACAUCUACCACCAACCCCUCUUUAUCUUCUCUUUCUUUGUUUGAACUUAAAAAUACCCCACAAGGUUUGCUUCUCCGAUGAACUUUUGGAAGUUCCAACAUAGCAAGAAUCAAGUUAAAAGAUUCAAAAAUACUAGAUUUAAGGAUUGAAGGAUAAGUCAACUUUGAUAUACCCAUGCUGGCUAACAAGCUUUGAUUUAUGAUGGAUUCUUACGAAUUUGUCCCUGGGUGAUGGAGUGAAGAUGGACGUUUAGUGGACGAUUCAAGGAUUUGUGAUUUAGCUUCGAGGUUUUGAGAAACGAGCUCCAGCCCAGCAGUAGCGGUAUCAUUUUGGUCGUAGAGAC